rnacentral:rRNA from 1 species
GUGGGGAAUCUUGCGCAAUGGGCGAAAGCCUGACGCAGCCAUGCCGCGUGAAUGAUGUAGGUCUUAGGAUUGUAAAAUUCUUUCACCGGGGACGAUAAUGACGGUACCCGGAGAAGAAGCCCCGGCUAACUUCGUGCCAGCAGCCGCGGUAAUACGAAGGGGGCUAGCGUUGCUCGGAAUUACUGGGCGUAAAGGGCGCGUAGGCGGACAGUUUAGUCAGAGGUGAAAGCCCAGGGCUCAACCUUGGAAUUGCCUUUGAUACUGGCUGUCUUGAGUACGGGAGAGGUGAGUGGAACUCCGAGUGUAGAGGUGAAAUUCGUAGAUAUUCGGAAGAACACCAGUGGCGAAGGCGACUCACUGGCCCGUUACUGACGCUGAGGCGCGAAAGCGUGGGGAGCAAACAGGAUUAGAUACCCGGGUAGUCC